GCUGGAUGCGGUGGCGCACACCUGUAAUCCUAGUGGUUUGGGAGGCUGAGGCAGGAGGAUUGCAAGUUCAAACCAGCCUCAU
rnacentral:sRNA from 1 species